rnacentral:ncRNA from 1 species
AAACUGGGCUCCGAACAAAUGGACACGAUGAAGCAUUGUUCGGAGC